rfam:Galbibacter marinus strain ck-I2-15 contig7, whole genome shotgun sequence.
UAUAUUUGCGCCCUUGAUAGAUCGACUAUCAAAUACAUAAGAAUCAUUUAAAAGAAAUAUUGGCAUG